AUGUUUCCAUCUUUGCUCCCAUCUCUUCUUCCUCGGGCUCUUCCUCCAGAAUGUGAGUCCAUCAGGGCGCAGGCAGACGCACACCCUCCACCCACCUGGGAAAGCCUCCCUCCUCCUCCUCUUCCUCCUUCCCUGACAGAUCCAAACCGGGGCUCCCCCUCUGCGGUCCCACGUCCACAAGCACUGGGCGGCCCGGCCGACCCAAAGGGAAUGGCUGUGUAUGGAUGGGGGUGGGGGUGUCAGCCCAGAGAUUCGGGGCCCUCCUCCCUCCCUCCCUCCCCCCCCAAAACCAAUACCCGGAGGGACCCACAGCUGGAGGUCUCCCACUCCCAGUGGCACCUGAAGGACAGACAAACACCUUCUACGGCUCCAGUUCUCACUCCCUCCAGGUUGCAAAAGAGAGGGAGGCAGCUGGAAGGAGGUGGGGAUCCAGAGGAUGCUCCCCCCCCCCACCUCGACAUCAGGCAGCCUCUUUCAUUUCCUCACAGGAAAGAUUACGCAGGAGUAAAGGGUCACCUCGCCCAACAAACAGCCACCUGCAACCUCUUCCUGCAGGACAGGUGGAGCAAGAAAUGGAAACAGGUACGAACCCCACGUGCAUGCACGCACGCACAGGCGGAAACGACACACACACACACACACCACGCAUGGAAAAGUCAGCAAGGGUGCCAGCUUCCUGGCCUGCACGGGCAGGCGGUCUGGGAUGAAGAGAGGCGGCCAUUUGCGGCCAACGGGGCCCGGAGCGCACCACGGCGCACAGGAGGCGAGGCUGAUACCAGGAGGAGCGGCAGGCGGAAGGGCACGCGCACCACCUGGCCUCCGCAGGAGUCACAAAGCCUCCGCCCGGUCCUACGCCUCCCUGCGAGGCAGGCCUCAGGUUCCUCCAGACGCACAUUCGACUCCUCAAGAAACCCCCGAGGACAUCCAGAACAGCGGAAACCACCCGUCCCUUCAGCUGGCAGGGAACGGUCUGCAUUCCUGAAGGACAGCCGCACCGUACUUCUCUCCCUUCAGGUGCAGAAAGGCUGAGCUGAUGAGAGACUUACAAGCUACCUGAGACAUCUCUCGUCACCUGCCAAGGUGCUGGCACAGGUAACAGCUUCUCUUAGGUGCCCUCUUCACCUGUUGCUGGGUCAGACCAGGAAAGCAGCUUCUCAGCUCCUGAGACGACCUUUACCCUGGCAGGGAUUGCCCUCUGCCUUAAAAGGCUGUCAUCAUGUUUCAUAUUGCAUGUCAAGUGUCUAGCUUUCCACAUAUCAUAAAUUGUCCUCAUGGGAUAGAAAGUCAUUUGUGCUCCAUAAGAAGGAGUGGUUCUUUUUUCUUCCCUUUUUGGCUUUUGACUAUUUUCAGCUUUUUAAGUGCUCAUAUAUGACAAACAGUUUGUGUCAUGUCUUUAUGCCUCUAUAAAAUUAAGAUAAAGCCUGGCUUUCUAGCAAAAGGCAGUUGGCUCCACCUAAUUACCUCCCCACCCUCCUGUGUUUCCUUUUUUUAAUGGGGGAAUCAAGUUAAUCCAUCACAGCAGCUGCUGCCUCGGGAACCCUGGCUCUCCCUAGAAGCAAGACGGGGUGUUCUCAGAAAGGAACUUCCUGUUGCUCGGCUGCCUGACCAGGAAGGGAGGAAGGGGGGGGGGAAAGACCAUGGAAGUUCUGAGCAGUCCUGAGGAGCCAUUGGUCCGGAAGUGACCUAUGAGUCACAUCUGGAUCAGACCAUGGCAGGGGAGAGACAGAAAGGGAUUUGCAUGAAAGAGGAUGGGCAGGCGGUGAACGGGUGUCCUAAGAGAGGCCCUGGCAAAAUUUUGGGAGGGGGUGGGGCCAGAAGGGAGAUUCCCAAAGGGCUGCGAGGCUUCCAAAGAGAGCUUCGCUUAAAAGUUUCAGAGCCUCUGCAUUUGGGCAGCUGCUGUCCCUCUGCUGCAGAAGGGGAAAGGAUCAUUAUCCAGGAGUUCAGGCUGGACUCCCCACCCCCGCCCCUGCUGGAGAUCCCCUGCUCUUGCCUGGUCCUCUCCCCUCCAGAUACGAAGCAGGCUCACCCACUUCUUAGCCUCCUCCCUUUGUUUAAAAACAGCCUGGAGCAAUGAGGCUUGAGAGACCUAAAUGCAGGAGGGCUUCCCCCUGGGGGUCCAGCCAAUACAAGUAGUGGUCUCAAUGGCCAGACAGGCGGGAUAUAACAUAAAUACUGUAAAUAAAUAAAUACAAGUACAGAGUGAGCGCA
rnacentral:lncRNA from 1 species